AUGUACCCCUUCAUACGCAAGUACAAGGACGGCAGCAUCGAGCGUUUCCUGCGCAGCCCAUUCGUGCUGGCGCCGCCGGAUCAGGGCAGCAACCGCGGGGUGGCGACGAAGGACGUCGUCGUCGACAAGGCCACUGGCGUCUCUGUGCGCCUGUUCCUCCCGUCCCGUGCCGCCGGGACCGCAGGCAGGAAUCGGCUUCCUCUCGUCCUCUACGUCCAUGGCGGCUCGUUCUGCACGGAGAGCGCUUUCGGCCGUACGUACCACCGCUACGCGACCUCCCUCGCCGCCAGCGCCGGAGCCCUCGUCGUGUCAGUGGAGUACCGUCUAGGUCCGGAGUUCCCCAUACCCGCGGCCUACGACGACGCGUGGGCCGCGCUCCAGUGGGCGGCAUCCUUGUCCGACCCAUGGCUGGCCAGCUACGCCGACCCUACGCGCACGUUCAAGGACGCGUUUGGGUAUGGCAUGGCCAUGAAGUCCUGGGGCACACGCUCCAGUAUGGCACGUAACAGUGCUACUUACCUGAAAACUGGAAGGGUUGGCCCAUCCAAGAAAAUCUCAGUUCGACUGCCGAUGCCUGCUGCGGUUCCGUGGACUUGUGUGAUCAACAACUUUUUCUAG
rnacentral:rRNA from 1 species